rnacentral:lncRNA from 1 species
GGAGCGCGGCGGUGAUUUUGUGCCAGGGAUUCCCAGAGACGCGCUGAAAGGCUGGCAGGGCUUAGGAAGCUGGGGGGUUAGGGACACACAUUCAAGCCCCCACCCCCGGGAGGGGAAGGGGGCUGGAGGCGAGGCUUGAGGGCGGCGGAGGAAUGGUGUCUGCUCGGGGGGAAGGGGCGAGCCCUGCCUGUUGGUACUGAGGGGCUGCGGGCAGUGGAGGCUCCGCGGGUCGAAAGCGGCUCCAUGCCCAUCGGUGGGUGGAACGUGUAGAGGUCGGAACGCCGAGGUCGAGUCUGGUGGCGCCUCGGUAUCCUUAACGUGGUCUCUGUUUAACGUAUUUCAUUUAGCCCCCGUUGGGAUUGAUUCAUUGGGAGCAGUUUCGCUGGUCUGGAUCCUCCAGGAGCUGGACAACCUUGACGGGCUUUUUGUCUUGGGUUCCAGCCCCCUUUCCCUUCCUCCUCCUCCAGAUGCCUUUUCUCUGCCCCUCCUCGCCCGGUACAGACAUUUCCAGCGCAGGCUGCUGCUCGUGGUGUCCGUCGUCGAAGCCACUUCUUGGGAUUUCGGCUCGUUUCACUCUGGGGUGUUUUUUGAGGAGGGAGAGUGCCCCCCUCCUCCACGAUGGGAUUUUUCUCCCUUGCCGAAAUGGACUUUCAUUGAUUUCUACUUACUUCCACGUUUAGUGACCAAUUCCCUAGGCGUAUUUUUGUGGUAGUUCCUUUUUUCAAAUACAUACUCUGUAAAAUGGAGAACGAAAUUUUUACUCCCCUUCUGGAGCAGUUCAUGACCAGCCCUUUGGUCACUUGGGUUAAAACGUUUGGACCUCUGGCCGCAGGAAAUGGGACCAACCUUGAUGAAUAUGUGGCUUUGGUGGAUGGGGUAUUCUUGAACCAGGUCAUGCUCCAAAUUAAUCCUAAAUUGGAGAGUCAGAGAGUAAAUAAAAAAGUCAAUAAUGAUGCCUCACUUAGAAUGCACAAUCUAUCCAUUUUGGUGAGACAGAUAAAAUUUUAUUACCAGGAGACUUUGCAGCAAUUGAUCAUGAUGUCGUUGCCAAAUGUCUUAAUCAUUGGCAAAAAUCCCUUUUCUGAACAAGGCACAGAAGAAGUUAAAAAACUGCUUUUACUUUUAUUGGGUUGUGCAGUUCAGUGUCAGAAAAAAGAGGAAUUUAUUGAAAGAAUUCAAGGUUUAGAUUUUGAUACAAAAGCAGCGGUUGCCGCACAUAUUCAAGAGGUAAUGACAUAUAUACAAUUUUACGUGCUAUUUAUGAAGCUUGUGGUGUGUUUAUUUGUCUAUCUCCUAAAAUACUUCAAAGUCAUAGAAUAAGCAAGAACAAAUCAACAAAUAUAGAUGGACCCUGCUUUUAUACAAAUUGUCUUCUCUUUAGAGAUAGUUUCUUACACUUGGCACACUGUUAACUACAAAUAUACUCUUGCCUUUAUUCUAUAGUGACAUAGGCAGAAAGUGUUAUUUGAGGAAUGAGGUAUAUGUCUUUGUUAGAAUGGAUUACAAAGCAGUAAAUGGAAACAGCAGAAAGUGGAACACUGCUUGUAAUUCAAAACGAUAGUGAGGUAAGAUGACAAGCUUAGUAUUAUUCCAUUGAUUUUCUUUUGAAAGAAUAGAUGCAUAAUUUUUAUUAAAGAUAUUACUUGAAUUAUAAACACAUUAAUGAUUUGUAGCAUUCAUAUAAAAACUUAAGUCUAGGGCAUAUUGUGCAGUGUCAAAUAAUUGAAAUUAAAAUUUGUUAAGAUUCAUUUUAAAAGCUGCUGUUUCUAUGUCUGUCUAUUCUUGGGCUUUUAAUCUUAUAAAGACACUUUAGAAUUAGUAUGUUAAAUUUUACAUGUUGAUUAG